AACGCACAUUGCGCCCCUUGGUAUUCCAUGGGGCAUGCCUGUUCGAGCGUCAUUUGUACCUUCAAGCUAUGCUUGGUGUUGGGCGUUUUGUCUGGAACAGACUCGCCUCAAAUGUAUUGGCAGCCAGUCUUUUGGUAUUAGAGCGCAGCACAUUUGCGUUUCUCCUAUCUUAGAAUUGGACACCAUGAAGUCUACAUUUCAACGUUUGACCUCGGAUCAGGUAGGGAUACCCGCUGAACUUAA
rnacentral:misc_RNA from 1 species